UUAGUUGAAGCCAAAAUAGAGGCCCUUUACUGUUAAUGAAGAAACUGAUGCAUAGCAUCCAACUAAA
rnacentral:tRNA from 1 species